CAGGUCUUGACAUCCCUCUGACCGGUCUGGAGACAGGCCUUCCCUUCGGGGCAGAGGAGACAGGUGGUGCAUGGUUGUCGUCAGCUCGUGUCGUGAGAUGUUGGGUUAAGUCCCGCAACGAGCGCAACCCUUGAUCUUAGUUGCCAGCACUUCGGGUGGGCACUCUAGGAUGACUGCCGGUGACAAACCGGAGGAAGGUGGGGAUGACGUCAAAUCAUCAUGCCCCUUAUGACCUGGGCUACACACGUACUACAAUGGCCGGUACAACGGGAGGCGAAGCCGCGAGGUGGAGCGAAUCUUUAUAAGCCGGUCUCAGUUCGGAUUGCAGGCUGCAACUCGCCUGCAUGAAGUCGGAAUUGCUAGUAAUCGCGGAUCAGCAUGCCGCGGUGAAUACGUUCCCGGGUCUUGCACACACCGCCCGUCACACCACGAGAGUUUACAACACCCGAAGUCGGUGGGGUAACCCGCAAGGGAGCCAGCCGCCGAAGGUGGGGUAGAUGAUUGGGGUG
rnacentral:rRNA from 1 species